rnacentral:rRNA from 1 species
UAUUGCGCAAUGGGCGAAAGCCUGACGCAGCGACGCCGCGUGAGGGAUGAAGGUCUUCGGAUCGUAAACCUCUGUCAGCAGGGAAGAACGGUCACUGUGCUAAUCAGCAGUGAAUUGACGGUACCUGCAAAGGAAGCACCGGCUAACUCCGUGCC